rnacentral:rRNA from 1 species
ACUCCUACGGGAGGCAGCAGUAGGGAAUAUUGGACAAUGGGCGCAAGCCUGAUCCAGCCAUGCCGCGUGAGUGAAGAAGGCCCUCGGGUUGUAAAGCUCUUUUGUCCGGAAAGAAAAGCGCCGGGUUAAUACCCUGGUGUCCUGACGGUACCGGAAGAAUAAGCACCGGCUAACUUCGUGCCAGCAGCCGCGGUAAUACGAAGGGUGCAAGCGUUACUCGGAAUUACUGGGCGUAAAGCGUGCGUAGGUGGUUCGUUAAGUCCGAUGUGAAAGCCCUGGGCUCAACCUGGGAAUGGCAUUGGAUACUGGCGGGCUAGAGUGCGGUAGAGGGUAGUGGAAUUCCCGGUGUAGCAGUGAAAUGCGUAGAGAUCGGGAGGAACAUCCGUGGCGAAGGCGACUACCUGGACCAGCACUGACACUGAGGCACGAAAGCGUGGGGAGCAAACAGGAUUAGAUACCCUGGUAGUCCACGCCCUAAACGAUGCGAACUGGAUGUUGGGCUCAACUUGGAGCUCAGUAUCGAAGCUAACGCGUUAA